rnacentral:rRNA from 1 species
GAUGAACGCUAGCUACAGGCUUAACACAUGCAAGUCGAGGGGAAACGACAUCGAAAGCUUGCUUUUGAUGGGCGUCGACCGGCGCACGGGUGAGUAACGCGUAUCCAACCUGCCCAUCACUUGGGAAUAACCUUGCGAACGUAAGACUAAUACCCAAUGACAUCCCACGAAGACAUCUGAAUGGGAUUAAAGAUUUAUCGGUGAUGGAUGGGGAUGCGUCUGAUUAGCUUGUUGGCGGGGUAACGGCCCACCAAGGCAACGAUCAGUAGGGGUUCUGAGAGGAAGGUCCCCCACAUUGGAACUGAGACACGGUCCAAACUCCUACGGGAGGCAGCAGUGAGGAAUAGUGGUCAAUGGGCGAGAGCCUGAACCAGCCAAGUAGCGUGCAGGAUGACGGCCUUAUGAGUUGUAAACUGCUUUUAGAAGGGAAUAAAGUGGGUCUCGUGAGACUUUUUGCAUGUGCCUUAUGAAUAAGGAGCGGCUAAUUCCGUG